GUACAACUAAGUGCUUUUCCCUUUUAAAAUUUUUUUCAAGUUUACAUGAACUUUGGGAUACAAAUCCAGGAGUGGUAUGGCUGAAUCAAAAGGCAUCCCAAUUUUUAUAGCCCUUUGAACCUAGUUCUAAAUUGUUCUCCAGAAUGGUGGCAUUUCUCAAUUGUGAUUUAGAGCAUUUUUUCAUAAGACUAUAGGUAUUUUGAUUUCUUCAUUUGAAAACUACUUGUCCAUAUCCCUUGACCAUUUAUUCAUUUCUAAGAUGCCUCUCUUCUUCCAGUAUCCCAGGGACAUAAGUUCUAUGUUAUCCUUUACUCCUGUCUGUCACCCUGAAUACUGAAUCAGUGACUAAACUUGCUAACUUUCUAACUAGACAGCAUCUCUUCUAUUUGACCCAUUUCAUCAUCUUUGCAAUUACACAAUUGGCUGAAAGGUACUGACUCGUUGCUGUUCUUGAUUCUUGAAUAGGACCAAAAUGCUGUUACUAUGUUAGAGUCAAAUUACAGUGUGUCCAGCUGUGACUGAUCAGACCAGUAUGGGCUCAGAAUGCUCUGCUACAGGUCAGACAAAGUACACUAUGUUUAUUUGGGUUUCUAAAUUUUUAAAUAGUAUUUUAUUUUUCCAAAUACAUGCAAAGAUAGUUUUAAACAUUCACUGUGGCAAAAUCUUGUGUUACAAAUUUUUCUCCUUCCCUACCCCCUCUCCAAGACAGUAAGUAAUCUGAUAUAGGUUAAACAUGUGCAAUUCUCCUAAACAUAUUUCCAUAUUUAUCAUGCUGCACAAGAAAAAUCAGAUCAAAAGGGGGAAAAACCAUGAGAAAGAAUAAAUGAGCAAAUAAACCACAACAAAAGGUGAAAAUACUAUGCUGUGAUCCACGUUCAGUCCUCAUAGUUCUCUCUCUGGAUGCAAAUGGCUCUCUCCAUCACAUCUAUUGGAAUUGCCUUGAAUCACCACAUUGUCAAGAAGAACGAAGUCCAUCACAGUUGAUCACAACAUAAUCUUGUUUCUGUCUACAAUGUUCUCCUGAUUCUACUCCCUUCACUCAGCAUCAGUUCAUGUAAGUCUUUCCAGGACUCUCUGAAAUCAUCCUGCUAGUCAUUUCUUACAGAACAAUAAUAUUCCAUUACAUUCAUAUACCAUAACUUAUUCAGCCGUUCUCCAACUGAUGAGCAAUUUCUCUGGCUUAUGUCUAUUUGUUGCUUAGGGGAAAAGUCUUUCAUCCAGCGGAACAAAGAAUGGCUUUAUAAGCUCUUCUCUUGUUGAUUUCUUGAUAUUUCAGAUUCUUUCAAUCUACUGACUUCUUCCUUACUGCCUUUAACCAUGCUUAAACUUUACCUAUCCUUGAAAAACCUUUAUUAGAAGACUCCAUUGUCCUCUGAAGUUUCCAUUCUAUAGUUCUCCUUUUCUAAGUCUAAACCCUUGAAGAUGCUGUCUAUACUCCUUUUGUAAUGUUCUGGUUAGCUUUCUUUAGGUCUCUGGACCAGCCUUCGUUUCAGCAGAGUAAUAAUCAUGAGAACAGCCCAAAGUUAAAGUCCAAAUUCUUUAUUAUCUCCUUCACAGUCUAGUUUCCUUGCCUGGGGACCGGGCCAGCUUUCUGGAGGUCCUCCAGAAUGUGUCUUGGUUUAUGUGGGGAGGCAGGAGGGCCACCGUGAUGGUCUCUGUCUUGAAGUCUCUCUCAGUCUGAGAGCUUGUGCUCCAGCACAAUCCUCUCCAAGUCCUCUCUAGGUCUGACUCUGGCCUCUUAAAUACGCUAGUACAAUUAUAUCCAUUCAUCAUACUGCGUACAAGCCAAUCAUUAUAUCACUAGGGCACCAUUAUUUGUUGUAAGAUUAAUUCAAUCAUACUGAACCAGAGAACUAUUAAUCGCCAUGCUAAACUAGGUAACCAUUGUAUUAUCAAUUCCACUGAGUUAGCACCUUGUAAGAAUACUUGUUUCAGAGUUCUGGCCCAUUACAUCCUUUGACUUCUUAUUAUAUUAUUUAAAAAUCAUACAAGACCUUGAAAAGGUAACAACAAUAACAUUUUCCCACCUGGGCUGUAUUCAUUCUGAAUUUGACUUUUCCACCAUUUUCCUAGAGUAUCAGACUUGAUAUUCCUAUCUCAUAAAUAUCCUUUGCUACUUGAAGGAUGGAACCAUGAACUCCUCCAUUUGAGGAGGAAGCACAGGACAGGAGAGAAGUUAUUUCUACCUUUCUAAUAUCUUUCUUACAUUCCUUCUCUCCCUAGUGCAGACCCUCCAGUCCUCACUCAAAGAUUAUCAUUGCAACAUGAUUUUGCAACAUUGCAACAUCAUAUUUUAAUGAUAAAAGAGGUACAAAAAAAAAAGAAAUAAAGAGAAACAACUUGAAGGAAAAAAAAAAAAAAAAAAAAGAGGUACAAAAAUCCACCAACCCCUUUUAAAAAACAGAAUUGGCUAAAUGGAAGAAGAGGUAAAAAAUAUUUUAAAAAGCAGAAUUGGCCAAAUGGAAAAGGAGAUACAAAAAUUUAUUGAAGAAAAUAAUCCCUUAAAAAUUAAAAUUGGACAAAUAGAAGCUAAAUUUUCUGUGAGACAUCCAGAAACAAUAAAACAGUCAAUAGAACUAAAAAAUAGAAGAAAACGUGAAAUACUUCGCUGGCAAAACAGCUUACCUGAAAAACAGAUCCAGGAGAGAUAAUUUAAGAAUUACUAAACUACCUGAAAGUUAUAACUUUUUAAAAAAGUGCCUAGACAUCAUAUUUUUUAAAAUUAUCAAGUAAAAGUAUCCUGAUAUCUUAAAAUCAGAAGAUAAAACAGAAAAAGAAAGAAUCCACUGAUUACCUCCUAAAGGAGAUCUCAAAAUAAAAACUCCCAGGAAUAUGAUAAUCAAAUUCCAGAGCUCCUGAAUUAAGAAGAAAAUCUUUCAAACAGCUAGAAAGAAGAUUCCCAAAUACUGUGGAACCUCAGGCAGGAUAACACUAGAUGUAUUUAUUUAUUUAUUUUACUAAAGCUUUUUAUUUACAAAACAUAUGCAUGGUAAUUUUUCAAUACUGACCCUUGCAAAACUUUCUGUUCCAAAUUUUUCCCUCUCCCCCACCUCCUCCCCUAGAGCUGAUAGUCCAAUACAUGUUAAAUAUGUUAAAAUAUAUGGAUAACACUAGAUUUAGAAGCUUCUACUUAAGAAGGCUUGGAAUAUAGUAUUCUGGAGGGCAAAGAAGUUAGGAUUAUAACCAAGAAUCAUCUAUCAGUAAAAGUGAUAUAAUUUUCAGAGGUAAAAAAAAGUAUUCAAGGAAAUCAAGGACUUUCAAUCAUUCCUGAUAAAAAAAUAGCUAAAUAGAAAAUUUGACUUUCAAAUACAAAAUUCAAAAGAAUCAUAAAAAGAGAAAUGUGAAAGAAAUCAUAAGAUACUAAUAAGGUCAAAUUGUUUACAUUCCUACUUGCACCUCCUAAAACCUUUAUUAUUAUUAUGGCAGUUGAAGUAGUAUGGAUAGACAGAAGACAUAGAUGUGAAUUGACCAUGAUGGGAUGAUAUCUAGAAAAAUAAAAUUAAGGGUAAGAAUGAAAGAUGUACCAAAGAAAGGGGAAAGGGAGAGAUAAAAUGGGGUAAACUACUUCACAUAAAAGAAGUAUCAAAGUGAGAGCUUUUACAGUGGAGUUUGGAAAGAUGGGGGAGGAGUUUGGCAAAACGUAAACCUUACUCUCAUCAGAAUUGGCUCAAAGAGGGAAUAACAUACUCAUUCAUUUAGAUAUAGAAAUCUCUUGCCAUACAGGGAAGUAGGAGGGGAAAGGAAAAUAAGAUAUUUGCCCUACAGUGAAGUGGGGAGGGGUGAUAAAAGAGAGGGUGAUUGGGGUAGAAGGAAAACAGACUUUGGAAAAUGGCCAGGGUAAAAAGAGAAAAGAAAACUAAAUGGGUGAAAAUAGGAUGAAGAGAAAUACAUAGUAAUCAUAGCUGUGAAUGGGAAUGGGAUGAACUUACUCAUAAAACAGAAGCAGAUAACAGAGUGGAUUAAAAGCCAGAAUCUGGCAAUAUGUUGCUUGUAAAAAAACAUACUUAAAACAGAGAGAACACACACAGAGUAAAAAUAAAGGGAUGGAGCAAAAUCCAUUAUGCUUUGGUUGAUGUAAAAAAAAAAAAAAAAGAAAUCUAAUUAAAACAGAUAAACAGGGAAACAGCAUUUUGCUAAUAGACAAUGAAGUAAUAUCAAUAUUAAACAUGUAUACACCAAACAGCAUAGCAUCCAAAUUAAUUUUUGAAUGACUAAACAAAAAGGCAUUUAUUAAAUAUUUACUAUAUGGUAAGCAGUUCUCGCCCUUAAAGAAUUCACAUUCUAAUGGGGGAAUUAACACAUAUCUGCAAAUUAGAUGGAAAGGUCAAAUGUCCUUAAGUCAUAGUGGCAAAAAUAGGUGGCAAAUGAUUUUCUUUAAUGUCAUAGACACUAAUAAAUAUUUAUUUCUGAUGUUAAACUAUUAGAGUAAAAAAACUUAAAAAUCUAUUUUCAAUAGCUGUGAUAACUAAGAAAGUAGGAGCUAUGUCCCCUAAAGAGGAAGAUGAUAAGUCACAUUUCCCCAAGGGUAGCUCCCUAAAAGAUGGUCACAGUCACAGACAGGUAGCAGGAAUAGUAGUAUUGAGGACUUUGUUAUUCCUAGGGCUAUUGGGCUUAUCUGUCUAAUGGUAGAAAUUGGUCAGAUUCAUUAAUUGCUGGUAGGGAUGAUGGACAUAUUUUCUGUUAAGGUUACCUCAAUGAAUGAUUUUUGUGGAAAUUAAAAGUUGGAGAGGUGCUCUGAGAUUAGUUACACGGAAAUUCUUAAAGGAAAAGUUAAAUGAGUUACAGAAGAAAUAGUAAAACUCUACUGUCUCUCAGAACUAGAUAAAGCUAAUUAAAAAAUAAACAAGAAAUUAGUUAAGAAAAAAAUAGAUAUGAUAGACUUUUGGAAAAAAAUGAAUGGGAAGGGGCAGCUAGGUGGUGCAAUGGACACUUAACACUUCCUAGCUGUGACCCAAGUGCCUCAGCAAAAAACAAAUAAGUAAAAAAUAAAAUAAAAUUGAAUGGGAAUAGAACUUUACCUUCUUUGUAAUUGUAUAUGGCACCUACACAAAAGUUGACUAUAUAUUGGAGCAUAAAAAUCUCAUAGUCAAAUUCAGAAAAGCAAAAGUAACACACAGAUCCUUUUCAGAUAUAAUAUAAUGAAAAUUACCUCCAAUAAUGAACCGUGGAAACACAGAUUAAACAUUUAUUGGAAACUAAAUAAUCUAAUCUUCAUGAAUGAAUAGAUAAAAGAACAAAUUAAAAAGAAUAAGACAACAUACCAAAAUUUAUUGGAUGCAACCAAAGCAGUACUUGGGAGAAAAUUUAUAUUUCUAGACCCUUACAUUAAUAAAACAGUGAAAGAAUAUUUCAUUGAACUAGUUAUACAACUAAUAAAUUAAAAAUCUCCAAUUAAACAACAAAUUGGAAACCUGAAAAUCAAAGGAGAGAUUAAUAAAACUGAAAGUAAGAAAAUUAUUGAACUAAUAAGCAAAGCAAGAAGCUGUUUUUCAGGGGGAGGGAAUCUCAAUAAAAUAAAACAUUGGUUAAAUUUUAUUUUUUUAAAAAGGAAAACAAAAUUUCCAGUAUCAAAAGUGAAAAGGAUAAAUUCACUACCAUUAAAGCAAUUAUUAGUGUUAUGCCAAAGUCCCCUUUUAAUGGGGGUGACCCAGUUCCUCCAAUUGUCUUAGUUCAUUACUCUGCCUUAGGUUAUAACUGUCUCCUCUUAAUGUUUGAGAUAAAGGUUUUAUAGACAUUCUUUAAUGUUUGACAAGAUAAAGGUUUAUCCAUUUCAGAUGUCAUUAGAAUAUCAGUAAUGUCAUUGUUCUUGUUAUUCCAUAAAAAGCUCGCUGCCCCAAUACUCUGGGCUAGACUCUUUGAGAUGAUAGUCUCGUCUAGCCCUGGGAUCAAUAUGGAUCCAUUGGUCCCAGUAUUUCUCUCCAUUUAAUAAAUUAUUGAAUUGGUCUCUAAUCUCUGUGUUGCUCAGUUUCUUUGGCCUUACAUUAGGAGCUACGCUGUCCAGUUAUAUGCCAAUAAAUCAGACAAUCUAAAUGGAUAAAUGGAUCUAAAUCUAAAUGGAUAAAUAUUUACAAAAAUGUAAACUGUCCAGAUUAACAAGAGAGGAACUAGAAUAUUGUAAUAGCCCAAUUUUAGAAAAGAAGUUGAAAAAGUUGAAAUGAGCUUCCUUAAAAAAGUCCCCAGAACCAAAUGGAUUCAUAAGUGAAUUCUACCAAAUAUUUAAAGAAUAAUUAAUUUCAAUACUAUAUGAAUUAUUUGAAAGAAUAGGCAAAGGAAUCCUUCUAAAUUCCUUUUAUGACACAAAUAUGGGGCUGAAACUAAACCAGGAAGAGCAAAACCAGAAACAAAACUAUAGACCAAUUUCCAUAAUGAAUAUUCAUGCCCAAAUUUUAAAUAGAAUGCCAGCAGGGAAUUACAGCAAUAUAUCACAGAGGUCAUAUUAUAUGACCAGAUGGGAUUUAACAGAGCUGGUUCAAUAAUAGAAAAAACUAUCAGCAUAAUUUUCUAUAUCAAUAACAAAAACAUAAACACCAUAUGAUUAUUUCAUUAGAUGCAGAAAAUAUUUUUGACAAAAUAUAUCACUCAUUCCUUUUUUAAAGAAAAAAUAAUGGAAAACAUAGAAAUAGAUGGAGUUUUCUUUACAAUGAUAUAGAAUAUCUAAAGCCAUCAUCAAGUGUUAUCUGUAACAGGGAAAAGUUAGAAGCAAGAUCUGGAGUGAAGCAAAGAUGUCCAAUUACACCUUUAUUAUUCAGUUUUAUACUGGAAAUGCUAGCUAUAACAAUGAGAAAAAUAAAUGAAAGGAUUUGGAAUAGUGAGGAAGAAACAAAAUUAUCACUCUUUGCAGAUGAUAUGACAUACUUAAGACAAUCCUAGAGAAUUAACUUAAAAACUAGUUGAAAUAAUUAACUUCAGCAAAGAUGCAGGAUGGAAAAUAAAAUCACAGAAGUCAUCAGCAUUUCUAUAUGUUACCAAUAAAGUCAAGCAGCAAGGGAGAGAAACUGCAUCUAAAAUAAUUGUAAUCAAUAUAGGAUACUUGAAAGUCUUCCUACCAGGACAAAUCCAGGAACCAUAUGAACACAAUUAUAAAACACUAUUUACACAGAUAAAGUCAGAUUUAAACAACUGGUGAAAUAGUUAUUAGUCAUUGCUCAUGGGCAGGCUGGAUAAUAUAAUAAAAACUACAAUCUAUAUAAACUAUGUUUUUAUUAAUUUCUAAAUCAAAUUACCAAAAAUUAUUUAUAGAGCUAGAAAAAAUAAUUAUAAAAUUAGUCUCAAAGAACAAAAAAAUCAAAAAUAUCAAGAGAAUGAAUUUUUUAAAAUGUGAAGAAAGGUAGCCUAGUGAUACCAGAUCUCAAACUGUAUUACAAAGUGGUAAUCACCAAAAUAACCUGGUACUGGUUAAAAAAUAGAAUGGUGGAUCAAUGGAAAAGACUAGGUAAAAAAUACAUGUAGCAAAUGACUACAGUAAAUCUAAUGUUUGAUAAAUGUAGUGACCCAAGCUUUUGAGAUAAGAACUCACUAUUUAAUAAAAACUGCUAGAAAAACUGGAAGGCAAUUUGGCAGAUAUUAGAAACAGACCAACAUCUCAUACUGCUUACCAAGAACUGGUACAUGAUUUAGACAUAAAGGAUGUCAUAAGCAAAUUAGGGGAGCACAGAAUAAUUUAUCUGUUGGAUCUUUGGAUAAGAAGAAUUUAUGAUGUAACAAGACAGAGUAUUACAGGAAGUAAAACUGAUAAUUUUGCUUAUAUUGAAUUAAAAAUUUUUUGUACAAAUUAAUAUAGCCAAGAUUAGUAGAAAGGCAGAAAACUGGAGAAAUGAUUUAUAGCAAGAUUCUCUGAUAAAGACUUAAUUUCUCAACUAUAGAGAGAAAUGAGUCAAAUCAUAAGAAUACAAGGCAUUCUCCAAUUGAUAAUAGACCAAAGGAAGUGAACAGACAAUUUUCAAACAAAUAAAUUAAAGCCAUCUAUGGUCAUGAAAAAUAAAUGCUCUAAAUCACUAUUGCUUAGAGAAAUUCAAAUAUAAAACUCUGGGGUACCAUCUCAUACCUAGCAGAUUGGCUACUAUAACAGAAAAUGAAAACAAAAAUAUUUUGAAGAUAUAGGAAAACUGGGAGACAUUCACUGUUGGUGGAAUUGUGAAUUGACCUAACCAUUUUGGAGAACAAUUUGAAAUUAUACCUAAUAUGUGCAUAUCUUUGACCCAACAAUACUACUACUAACUAGGCUUGUAUCUAAAGAGAUUUAUAUAUAUAUAUAUAUAUAUAUAUAUAUAUAUAUAUAUAUAUAUGUGAAAAAGGAUUUAUAUGUAUAAAAAUAUUUAUAGAAAUUCUUUUUGUAGUGGCAAAGAAUUGGAAAUUGAGGGUAUGCCCAUCAAUUGGAGAAUGAACAAGUUAUAGCAUACUAUUGUGCUGUAAGAAAUAAUGGGCAGAUUUGUUUCAGAAAAGCCUGGAAAGACUUUUAUGAACUGCAAUUUAUAUGAUGCAAAGUGAAAUGAGCAGAACAAGGAGAAUAUUAUACCCAGUAGCAGCAAUUUGUACAAUGAUUAGCUGUGAAUGAUUUAGCGAUUCUCAGCAAUAGGAUCCAAAAUAAUUCUCAAGGCUUUUCAAAGAAAAAUGUCAUACACCUUUAGUGAAAGAACUGACAGUCUGAAUGCAGAUCAAAACAUAUUGUAAAAAAAAAACGACUUUUUUUCACUUUUUUCCACUUUCUUUUGCAACAUGGCUAAUGUACAAAUAUAUUUUGCAUGAUUGCAUAUGUAUAUCAAAUUGUGUCUGAUUUCUCAAAGAGGGGGAGAAAUGGCAGGAGAGAGAGAAUUUGGAACUCAAUAUUUAGAAAAAAAAAGAAAUGUUAAAAAUUGUCUUUACAUAGAAUUGGGGAAAAAACAAAAAAUAAGUUAAAUUAAGCCAAGUUUGAAAUAAAACCCCUUCCUUAAAGGCCAUUAUUCUUUUGGUGGUAUUUUGUCGAUAUAUUUCAUAGAUUAUAGUCUCAAAAGAAUCUAACUAGAGAUUUCUAUCUAAAUCAUUUCUCACUUGAUUGCACUACUUUGGGACUUUUCUGACUUCUCCACUCCCCCCUCCUGCACAAACCUCAUCAUCCUUCAAAAUCCCCUCUAUCUUGAGAGUCUAUCUUAUCACCACCAUUUCUCCCUCUGAUUGGAGGGUACAGUCAUGAAUUCUAAAAUCUCCAUCUAAGGAGGGACCUCACCUCUGAAUAUCUUAAUAUACAUGGCUGGCCUACUUUGGGACUACUUUGCUUUUCCACUAAGUUCUCCAAUACUUUCCUUUUCAGCUUCCUUUUGUUUUCCUUAUUCAAUUAUAAGCUCCCUUGGAAAAAACUUUAUUUAAAAAAAUUUUUUUUUAUUUGUAAACUUAAGUGCUUAUCAUAGCACCUGGCACUUAGUAGGCACUUAAUAGAAGCUUAUUGACUGACUGAGAUAGUGCUGGAUUUAACAUUAAAUUAAAAUUAAUUUAAUUUAGUAUUUUAAUAUUAAAAGCUGUGUAUAACUAAAGUUCAUGGUUUCAUAUGCUCAAAGACUCAAAUAAAUCCAAGAUCUUAUCAAUUUGGGAGUUUUUCUCCUAUAAUGAAGAGCCUAAUUCUUACAUCCCUUAUCUUCUGGAGGGAUUGUUUUUGCCAUGCCCUCCCAUAAUUUUGCUGCAAGGAGUCCAUCCAAUGUGCUGAAGGCCUUCCUUAUUUUGUCCUGACAUUGUGAAGGGACUAGGGGAGUGCUCAAGUUAUCCACCUGUCUCCCUAGACCUAGUCACAAGAAUAGCCCCUCUUCUCUUUCCAAUGUAUGUGUUUUUGAUGAAAUCCUUCGGUCCUGUCCUUGGAAAUUUCUCAUUGGUCAUAUGUGGCAGCCUAUAACACUGCUCACCAUCACUUUGUUCCCUGUGAUUUAAAAAAUUCCCCCAGGACUACUGUAUUCCAUAUUUCUUUAUAACAGAAGCCAACCGUUUUAUAUCCACACACAAUCUUCAUUUUUAUUCUCCUUUAUGAGUUGAAAUAGUUGUUGUUGAUUUUAAAUUGAUAAUAAAUAUAUAACUUACAAUGAAUUUCUUUGUGACAUUUUAAAAAUUCAAUUGUCAUCAACAAAUAUUUCAAUAUGCAGAAAACAAAAAAAGGAAUUUGUUUGAAAUCAAACUUUUAAAAGUGUAUCUAGUAACAAAAGUGUCCUAACCUUGAAACACAUUUUUGCUUCUUUUUUGUAUGUUUAAAUGUUUUGUCUCCUUUCCCUUUUUGCAAUUUUUAAUUUUUAAGAAUUUCAAUAUUUCCCACCAGUUACAUUCAAACUUUUUUUACAUUUUUAAAAUUUUUGAAUUCUAGGUUCUCUCCCUUAUCCCCCUCCCACAAUUAAGAAACUACAAGUGAAGUUAUGCAAAACAUUUCCUUCAAAGUCAAGUUGUGAAAGAAAACACAGCUCUCCCAUCCUGAUGAAAAUAAAAACCCUCAAGAAAAAUAAAGUUUAAAAAAAAGAGAAAGAAAAUGCUUCAGUCUGUAUUCAGACCCCAUCAGUUCCUCUCUGGGUAUGGAUAGGAUUUUUCAUCAUCAAGUCCUUUAGAGUUGUCAGGGGAUGAUUGCACUACUGUCUCUGCAUUUGUAUAAUUACUCACUAACCCUCUCUCCCUCUAACACGUGGUUGGGGGUGGUCACUGGUUUUCAGUCCUGCUCGACUCUUGGCAAAGAUACUGGAGUGGUGUGCCAUUUCUUCUCCUACCCAUUUCACAGACGAGGAAACUGAGGCAAACACAGCGAUGUGACAUGCGCAAGGUCUAAGUUGGCGUGUAAGGCUGGACUUGAACUCAGGUCCUCUGGACCCCAGGAUCAGGGUUCUAUCCACUGUACCACCCAGCUGCCCUAAGAAGCAGAUGGAGCCCAACUAUACACAUUGAUCACAUCGGAACGUUUGCGUCUCCUUCAGGAUCUCUGGUUCAUUGCCCUCUGCCAAGAAGGGGUCAUCCAAGUACUUGCCGAGUUGUCCGAGACCAUGAUUGGACACCUGUGUCCGGCUGUGUUCCAAUGUACUUCAAAGGUGUUUUCCUUUGUGAAGGGGUCACGGUGUCAGUGAUGUUUCUGGUUCCACUCACUUCCCUCUGCCCAAGAUCUCCGCUGGAGAAGCCACCGCUGGGCUCAGGGGGCUGGGCCCGCUCCCCGCUGGCGCCUGGGAUUGGUCCUGGAGCCCAGCCUCCCACGCACAGGCCCCCGCCCCCUGAGGCUCUGCGAACGUGCUUCUAAACUAUUUUGACGGACAUUCCAAUACACCCGUUCGAAGUCCCCCGUCAUUUCCUUUUGUGAAUAUGAAGCUUGGCCUUGAGAAGGGCUGGCUGCCAGAGGGCCCAGGACACAGUAAGAACUCUCUAAUGAGAAGGGCGGUCGUGUCCCCGUACUUUUUAGCUCAGUAAAUCCCCGCCUUGGGGCAGUAGAGAGGAAGCUGCUGCGGCGGGGCGGGAAAAAGCCCAGGGACCUUUCAGGGUGUGCCGAGUCCCAACAAAACAUGCGCCUUUCCAGGCCGACGACGACGCACAGAGUCCUCCGUGUCAAGUCGCCGUUUCUGUGGGCCGGCACUCGGUUCCGCUCUUAGGCCACGCUCCGUACGGCCGCGCCACAACGCCGCGGGCCGCCUCACUCCCAGAGGCCUCUGUGCCACAGUAACAAGAUGCUGUGUUUUUGCGCGCUUUAGGCCUUUUAUUUCCGACUCUGCUCUUGGGGCCCGGGCCCGGUCAGAAGGCGUGUGCGCGGUUCAGUGCCUUUGGAGGCGCACGGGGCUCAGAAGGCGGGCCAGCGCCCGACUCCCCCGACAGCCUAAGGCGGCUGCCUCUCCCCGGCCCCCAUCGCUUGCCGCCCCCCACGCUGCCUUUGCCAUCCGUUCGGGCGUGCGCCGGGGCCUCGGCAUUAUCGCGCACGCUUCUCUCGUUAGAGGUUCCGAAGUUCUUUCCUGCCAUCGUUUGAAGACCGCCUGACCGCACCGGCGGUCGGGGGGUGCGUGUCAGUUCUCCCUGCUUGCGGGCGCAGGACUUCUACCAGAGCCGUUGGCUGCAAAGGGUUUUCCUUCUCCCCUCCUCCCCGCCGCCCGCUUCUCUGCACGGAUUCUGCAGAACAUUCCCGAGGGCAAGAAGCAGUGAGGGGGCGUUAAGGGCCGGCUCCUCAUGGCGGACGUUGGAGGGAGCCGGGCAGCGAGGGAUGAGAGCGUGCCAGGGAGGAGCGCCUCGCCCAGGCGGGGAGCCGGCCCAAAGCGGGCCGUCCCCGGGCCGCGGCAGGCUUCAAACGCAGAGCGUCUAACCCCGGGCUGGCCGGGUGCGGGCGGCGCGCGGGGCCCUGGGAUAACCCGCGUGUAACGGAAGCAGCUGCACAGCCUUACACAGUGCCCUCUUACCCCGGCGGGGGGGGGGGGGGGGGGGGGGGGGGGGGGCGGGGCUGCAGCUGACACGGAGCGGACUUGCCCAGGGCCACUCAGCCGGCGGGGAAGUAGCCCUCGGACCCGCGCUUCUAGGCUCCGGGCCCGGGAGUGUGGCCGAGGGCUCCGCGGGGACGCGACCGGACAGGCCGCGGACACUCGGGGGCUGCGUUCGCUUUCCGAGGCCCCCCAAGUGGCGGAGGAAGCAGCGGGGCCUCCGCGGCGGCGGGCCGUUUUCCCCGGCAAGGAGCAAGUCCAGGGGCAGGAAAGGACGCAAUGACAAAGUCACUUUAAAUAAAGCGGUUUCCAAAGUCUUACCGGAUUGUCCGAGCCCGGGCACGGCAGGUGGCUGGCGGGGCCGGGAGCGGGGGCCGCUGAGCCUAGUGGGAGCCGGGGGGCGGGGCACCCACGGCGGGGGGGCGGCCCUGCACGCGCGACUGACAGCCCGGUGAGUGGCGGGGCGCGGAGAGGGGGAGGAGGGGUCACGCUCUCGGGCUCUCCACGGGCGACCCGGUUGGGGGGCUGGGUCCCACCGGGACGGGGUGGGAGGGGAACAGCACUGUGGUUGGGACACGGUCGGAUGUGCGGCCCGGGCGGGGGGAGGGAAACCCGCGGAGCGCUGAGUGUUGGCAGACUAGGAACAACUGGGGGCGACCUGCGGGGGCCCUGGAGCACCGGAGUGAAUCGGGGUGGGAGGGACCCGGAAGGUCCCGGCACACUGGGGAGGACUGAUCCCCCCUCCCCCGCUGCCCUGCAGCAUUGGGGAGUCUGGGGUCCGCGGGGCCGCGCAGCCUCGGGGGAGUUUGGGGCAGGGGGUUUGGGAGGGGUCCGCGGAGCUGCAACAUUGGGGGAGAGGUCCGCGGGGCGGCGCAGCCUCGGGGGAAAUUGGGGCAGGGCGUUCGUGAGGGGCUUAGCUUGGGGGUGAAGGGUCGAUCUACGGGCUCCCGCCGGGCUUAAGCCUGGAGCACCCGCGCG
rnacentral:lncRNA from 1 species